UCAUUUCCUUACUUUUCUUCGUGAGAAAUGCUAAGUAGCGGGAGGGACGAGAGAAGGACGAGAGAAACGGCAUUCUCUCCUGCCGUUUCCUCCUCUCGUUUCCUCUCACUUAUUACACAUAAAAAAAAAAAGAAAUGAUCAAAUGAAUAAACAAAUGAUGUUGGAAUUUUUCACGUGAGGGAAAGUGAAAAAGUCAAGGAGAGAGGAAAGCUCUCUUUCACUUUUUCACUUCCCCCCACGUUUCACUUUCCUCUCUCCUUGAAUUUUUCACUUUCAUUUUCCUUCAUUUUCGUCAGUUCUCACGCAGCUACACUUUCAGGCUUCUUCUCACGCAGCUUCACUUUCAGGCUUCUUCUCACGACCUCCUCCCUCUUUCCCUCUCUCGGCUCUCUCGGUAAAGAUUAAGUGAGCAGUGGCUUUUUUCAGCUUAUUCUUUUUGUUUUAAUUUUUUGUUACGUGAAAGAUCUGGCGUGGAAUUUAAGUGUAUUAUAGAAGUUAAGUUUGUUUUUUUUUUUUUGUGUUGUUGCGGGAUCUCGUUGUAAUUUAAGCUUCUGAAAUUUAAACAAUGUAAAUUUUGUUGCGGGUUAUGUUAUGAAUUUUGUUUUAUUUCAACUUUGGUGUUUAUGUUGUGAAUUUUGUUGCGGGUUAUGUUAUGGUAUGCAGAAGUUAUUUCAAUAUUAUUUGUUUUAGAAAUUUUGGUGGGUCUCGUUGGAACCUCCGAUUUUGUUGCGGGUUAUGUUACGAAUUUUAUUUUAUUUGGUGUUUAUGUUGUGAAUUGCCGUCAUAUGUUGUGGGUUAUAUUAUGAAUUUUAUUUUAUUUCAAUACUAUUUGUUUUAGAAAUUUUGUAAAUUUAAUUUUUAUGAAACUGAAUAUAAAUGUUAAUUAUUUUGUAGGAAUGGAAAAUUUUGAAACUGAGCGUGUAGUUGAAGAUGUGCCACUGGAAAAAUUUGAGCCAACUCUUGGCAUGUUAUUCGAUGGUUAUGAGGAAAUGUUUGAGUUUUACAAAGCAUACGGUAGACAAGAAGGGUUUCCGUGAAGAAGCUAACAAGUAAGAAAGUGAAGAAGCUAACAAGUAAGAAAGGGAGUUAUUGUGUUGGUUGACGAUUUCUUGUGUUAUUGUGUUGGUUGGCGAUUUCUUCUGUUUGUCUUUGUUUAUUUUUGAACUGUCUUUUAACUGUCUGAACCGAGAUGCAUCAAGUUCUUAUUUGUAAAUUUCUCUUUGAACUGUCAGAAUUGGGAUUUAAAUUAGAAAAAGUGGCAAAUUAAAAAAUCAUUUCAACUGCUAUUGGUUAUUGUGUUGUUUUUGUUUGUUGGCAUAUGCAUGUAUUUUCAUUUUCCAAUAUAUAUGAAUUAUAAUUACAAUACAAAAUUCAGUUCAUAGUAUAAAUUAAAAGAACUUAAAAAUAAUUCUUGAAUAUAAAACAUAGUAAAAUAAUUACAAGUAUUCUAAUCAAAUCAUAACACGGUGUUUGUCUUCUUCGAAGUUCAUCAUUAAACAAUCCCCUCUGCGCUUCACAUAAUUGAAACUUUACAGACAAGCAUUCAAUCUCCAAUGCCAGCUUUUUAACUUCCUCCACUAACAAAUUAAUUUUCUCUUAACUGCAUUUACGGUCUUCUGCCCAUUCAAAUUUCUUUCAUCCUCUACAUUUCCAAAAUUUGCGAUUUGGAUUCUUUGUAGUACGUGACGUGAACAACUCCAUUUGUUCACCGCAUUCGUUACAUAUUUGCAAUGAAUUCCGAGUUUCAUUUGUACUAGAUGACAUCGUCAUUCAUAAACUACUUAAACUGCCAAAAAAUAAAAAACAGCAGGCAUACAAUCCUGGAAGUUAAAAACAGAGCAAAGCAAAAAUUACAGCAACCAUGCAAUUCAUAAACUACUUAAACUGCCAAAAAAUAAAAACCACCAGACAUACAAUCCUGGAAGUUAAAAACAUAGCAAAGCAAAAAUUACAGCAACCAUGCAAUUCAUAAACUACUUAAACUGCCAAAAAAUAAAAAACACCAGGCAUACAAUCCUGGAAGUUAAAAACAGAGCAAAGCAAAAAUCAUAUCCAAAGAUAUCUGAUUCCACAUAUUAUUUUACCAAACAAUUACAUUUUUCCACUUCAUAUGACAAGAACAAACAAACCAUUAUAUCCCAAUUGACAGGAACCAGAAAUUUCAAACAAAUGUUCAAUAAACCAUCAUGCCCUCAAAUUCUUUUCUUUAUUCACUCUCUCAGAUUGCUAAUUUUUGGGGAUUAAUUUCCAUUGCUAUCAAUUAGCCUAUUUAUAAGCUCGGAGCACAAUUUUAUAGCCACACAAUUUUCCUUCACCUGCUAAGCACCAUACUCAGGACAUAUAGCCUAAUUUUUCCACACAAAAACAAUAUUAAGUUCUCUGCGUGGAUGUCAAGUUAUUUCCCAUAAUAAAGAAUGAAUUGUUUAAUCAAUGUACUCCUACCCAAUUUUAUUGAAAGGAGAAUUGAGUCCCAGCACACUCAAGGAAACUUAAGUGCAUGGCGCCAGUGAGACAUGAGCCAAUUGGCUGGAUUUUAAGUGUAACGCAGUAACACUUAAACUUUCAAAAUGAACAAUAUUAAAAAAAAAACAGAUGAAUAAUAUUACAGACACGACUUCUCAAAAACAGGCUAACCAAAGACGUUUUUUAAUUUUUAUUUCUGCGAUUAAUAUCAAACAACAAAUGAGAUACCUCGGGGGAGGACGAACAUCUAGCCAGCAGCCCCUUCGUUAAAGAACUUUAGCCGAGAAAAAAAUAAUUACUAGUGCAAAGCCUUCCCUUUUUGUACGAAGCAAAGGUAAUCAAGAACUUUAGCCGAGAACUUUAGCCGUGAGGGAUCUGGAAGCGUGAGGCACUUUAGCCGUAAGCCGUGAGGGAUCUGGAAGCGUGAGGCACGCCGGAAGCCGUGAGGGAUCUGGAAGCGUGAGGCACGCCGGAAUCCGUGACGGAGCUUCUGGAAGCGUGAGGGAGAGAAGCUAGUGAGGUGAGGGAGAGAGGAAAGUGAGGGAGAGAGGAAGAGUGAGGGCUAGAGACAAAAUGCUAAGAUUUCCCUCUGCACGAAGUGAUAAAAAAGCAGUCUUUCUUUAUUAUUUUUUAUUCAUUCUUUAGCGAGAGGAACGAGAAGCGAAACGACAAGAGAGAAUGCCGUUUCUCUCGUCCUUCUCUCGUCCCUCCCGCUACCUAGCAGCACUCUUUCUUCGUAGGAAACACCACCUUCCUUUCAGCAGCAAUUAUCUACCAAUUUGGCGUUUCCUCCUCCGUUGCAGUUGAAGCAAUUGCAAUGCACAUAAAGUUUUACGUAAGGGAAGAGUUCUCAAACGGCACUAAAAAAAAAAAAAAAAAACAAAUCAAGCCCCAGUGCUCGUCAUUAGGAGCAAUGAAAAGAAAAAAUAAAUAAGAUGAGAAACAUAAACGAGACGAAAAAUAGGAGGCACCGAACUCAAAGAUCUAUCAAAUCCUCCUUUCCAGGCUUGCGCAUCAUCAAGAGAGUAGUUUUCGUAUCCUUUGACAUCCUCCUCGAGGUGGAAAAACGUAAGUUUAAUAAUAAACUCAGAUUAUUUUAAUCUGUUCAGCGCAUGUACUUCAAAAUCAUAUUGAAAUCAAUGGCAAUAGAAAUACAUAUUCUGUUAAUUUCGUCUACUUUUACUAAUAAAAUUUCCCCUUUGUGUUACAAUCCAUCUCUCGUCGC
rnacentral:lncRNA from 1 species